AGCGUAUAUUAAAGUUGUUGCAGUUAAAAAGCUCGUAGUUGGAUUUCUGUUAAUAAUUUAUAUAAAAUAUUUUGAUGAAUAUUUAUAUAAUAUUAACAUAAUUCAUAUUACUAUUUUUUUUAGUAUAUGAAAUUUUACUUUGAGAAAAUUAGAGUGCUUAAAGCAGGCAUAUGCCUUGAAUACUCCAGCAUGGAAUAAUAUUAAAGAUUUUUAUCUUUUUUAUUGGUUCUAAGAUAAGAAUAAUGAUUAAUAGGGACAGUUGGGGGCAUUUGUAUUUAACAGUCAGAGGUGAAAUUCUUAGAUUUGUUAAAGACAAACUAAUGCGAAAGCAUUUGCCAAGGAUGUUUUCAUUAAUCAAGAACGAAAGUUAGGGGAUCGAAGACGAUCAGAUACCGUCGUAGUCUUAACCAU
rnacentral:rRNA from 1 species